AGUGAACGCUGGCGGUAGGCCUAACACAUGCAAGUCGAACGGCAGCACAGUAAGAGCUUGCUCUUACGGGUGGCGAGUGGCGGACGGGUGAGGAAUACAUCGGAAUCUACUUUUUCGUGGGGAUAACGUAGGGAAACUUACGCUAAUACCGCAUACGACCUACGGGUGAAAGCAGGGGAUCUUCGGACCUUGCGCGAUUGAAUGAGCCGAUGUCGGAUUAGCUAGUUGGCGGGGUAAAGGCCCACCAAGGCGAAGAUCCGUAGCUGGUCUGAGGGGAUGAUCAGCCACACUGGGACUGAGACACUGGCCAAACUCCCACGGGAGGGAGCAAUGGGGAAUAUUGGACAAUGGGCGGAAGCCUGAUCCAGCCAUACCGCGUGGGUGAAGAAGGCCUUCCGGUUGUAAAACCCUUUUGUUGGGAAAGAAAAGCAGCAGGUUAAUACCCCGCUGUUCUGACGGUACCCAAAGAAUAAGCACCGGCUAACUUCGUG
rnacentral:rRNA from 1 species